UACAGAGGUCUCAAGCGUUGUUCGGAUUCAUUGGGCGUAAAGGGUGUGUAGGCGGCGCCGUAAGUCAGGUGUGAAAUCUCGGGGCUUAACUCCGAAACUGCAUUUGAUACUGCGGUGCUUGAGGACUGGAGAGGAGACUGGAAUUCAUGGUGUAGCAGUGAAAUGCGUAGAGAUCAUGAGGAAGACCAGUGGCGAAGGCGGGUCUCUGGGCCGAUACUGACGCUGAGGAGCGAAAGCGUGGGGAGCGAACAGG
rnacentral:rRNA from 1 species